AUCUUGCAAGGAGCUGAGCAUGAAAGACACUCCAGCCCUGAAGCUGAUAGGACAGAGGAAGGCGGAAGUGCUGUGGAGGUUUUUAGAAGGCCCUCAACGGCUGUGACACAGAUAAACUCUUCUUUGGACAAGGAACCCGCUUGACUGUGGAACCAAGAAUUCAGCCUCCUUCCAAACCAUCUGUUUUUGUCAUGAAAAAUGGAACAAAAGUUGCUUGUCUGGUGAAGGAUUUCUAUCCCAAGAACAUAAAUAUAAAUCUCGUAUCAUCUAAUAAGGUAAAGGAAUUUGAACCUGCGGUUGUCGUCUCUCCCAGCGGGAAGUACAGUGCUGUCAAGCUUGGUCAGUACGAAGAUCCAAAUUCAGUAACAUGUUCAGUUCAGCUCAACAAUGAAACCGUGAGUUCCACUGACUUCGAAGUGAAGACAACUUCAUCAGACUUUCGAACACAAACUGAACCUGCAAACAGGAACCAACCUGAAAAGACCUGCCAUGAACCAAAAGUUUAUAUCCCGACGAUGAACAUGAUGUCUCUCACAGUGCUGGGGCUGCGAAUGCUGUUUGUCAAGAGCGUGGCCAUAAAUUUUGUCUUGACUGCCAAGCUAUUUUUCUUUUAAGAUUGACUGGCAUGAGGAAGCUACGCUCACUGGUGGAAAUCAAAAGCAUAAAAGAUGCUGUCUCCUAGGCUUCUGAUUUCUUGGUGAUUCAGGUCGACCUGUCACCACCUUAUUUAAAUCAGUUUCCCACUGAAGACAACAAACCCAGCUCAUCUUUCAAUCUGGUAGAAAACAAAUGUCCUUGGCAAUGGGGGUUAUGAUUCUAACUACUUUAUAUGCUGUUUUAUGCAGGGAUGAAUAGACAUAAAAAUAUAGGGCCUAUUUUAUUAUAUUCCUACAACUGAUACACAGUGAAAAAUAAUACAUCAUUAUUUUUCACUCUUUCUUUCCAAAAGUAGCAAGUUGGAGCUAACAGGUCCCUGCUUCAAUGUCUAUAAUGAAAGUUGGCCCUGAGAGGAGGAGAGCAGGUGUCCUUUUAUCUACACACGGCAGGUUCUGCCCAAACCAGCACUAGUUUCACCCAAGAAGCCAUCCUCAUCUUCUCUCGUGCGGCUCAUCCAACCUCUGCAUUCAUUCCAGCAGCCACUGGAGAUAUUACACAGCAGUGAGGGGACAGGGACAAUGUUGGUGCUUUCCUCUUUUCCUGAUACUUUACAAAAUUAUACUCUUUAAGCAGGCAACGGGGUUUCUCAAAUCUCACUAGCACUUGUCCUUUCCGUUAGCAAAGAUCAGAGCAAAAUACAGAGGAAAAGCACUUGUUUCUGCUAAUUGUUUUAACAUUCAUGGACUGACUCUGAGUCCCAGGCACUGUACUGAGGUACGAAGAUGAGAAGGACAUAGGUCCUGCUUUUAAGCAUCUCACUGUGCAAGCAUUUUUUAGAGGGAAAGAAAUGAGGCUUCUAUUUUUCCCUGUAAAAAACAGUAUCUUUAUUGUCUUUUGCCUGCCAAUCUGUAUGGAGGGAGUUAGAGAUCAUUGGACACUGAUGCUUUUGCUUGGGUCUUUGAUGUGUUGGGCCCUCUUUCUUAGCCCCUGUCUCUGUUGCAUUUAUUAAACCGCACUGUGUGCACCUUG